rnacentral:rRNA from 1 species
UACGUAGGGAGCAAGCGUUGUCCGGAAUCAUUGGGCGUAAAGCGCGCGUAGGUGGCUUCGUAAGUCCGUUGUGAAAGUCAAAGGCUCAACCUUUGAAUGCCGAUGGAUACUGCGGAGCUAGAGUACGGAAGAGGCGAGUGGAGUUCCUGGUGUAGCGGUGGAAUGCGCAGAUAUCGGGAGGAACACCUGUGGCGAAAGCGGCGCACUGGACCAUAACUGACGCUGAUGCGCGAAAGCUAGGGGAGCAAACAGG